GACGAACCGUGCGAACGUUAUUCGGAAUCAUUGGGCGUAAAGAGCUCGUAGGCGGCUAAGUAAGUCAGGUGUGAAACCUCCAGGCUCAACCUGGGAGACGCCACUUGAUACUGCUUUGGCUUGAGUUCGGUAGGGGUAAGCGGAAUUCCUGGUGUAGCGGUGAAAUGCGCAGAUAUCAGGAGGAACACCUAUUGCGAAGGCAGCUCGCUGGGACGUAACUGACGCUGAGACGCGAAAGCGUGGGGAGCAAACAGG
rnacentral:rRNA from 1 species